UGCUUAAUAUACGCAUUAAAACGUCCAAAUCACGACAUGGAAAUAUGAAGUAUUUUACAUUGGCGUUUUACUAAUAACGGCAGAUUGAGAAACCAUAGAGCCCAAAUUUUUGAGUCGAGAUUACACAGCAUAAAUAGAAAUAACGAGAAGAUAUCACGUACAUUAAGACUUUGGUAAUCUCUAGUCGUAUAAAAAGGAUAAUUUAUUAAAUGACAUAGUUUACACUAAAGGGUCUAAAACGAGCUGUCGUCGUAGCAUUACGUCUCCUCAAUCAAUAUCUAACAAUACAUGGCGACCACGCCAGGAUUUAAACCUGGGAUGUUCAG